UGCAAAAUUUCGAAGAUUUUAAAUUUAGCUCCAAAAUAAAUGAAUAAAUAACUAGAUGAAUAAAUAAACAGCUUUGCAUAGUUAUGGUGCACACUUUUACUUAAUUCUUUGUAUACUUAUUGUAGUCUAUGAUUCAAGGGUGCAAAACUUGAAAGGUUCUGUGAAUGGUGUCAUCCACCUAAAAAUGGUAAGAAUCAUUUUUCAAGAGGCACAUGUCUGUUUUAUCCAGCACCACUAUCUGUGUAUCCCAACGGGGUUCUGAGUAGUCCCAGCUGAAAUGACCACUCCCAUGGUGUGCAGUAUAUACAACCAUGUACAGUGGUCAAGAUGAGGUGCUUUGUGGGUCCAAUUCCUCCUGAAAGAUGUUCUAUUGCAUCAUAAAUCAUUCUCCUGGGGAUCAUUUUGUCUUUUGGCUGUCCAGUAACCACAAUCGUUUUUUCUUCAAGUUCAACAUUCCUAAGACCUAAGGAUAAUGUAAUUUCUUGAGGUCUGUUGCUUCAAUAGUCUGAUACCCCAGGAAGGACAAAAGCAUCUUUGUAGAAUAUCUUAAUUUCUUCGAGGCCUAUAAUAAUAGCUCAUUGUUUCUUAUGUUGUGUGAUCAAGUUAAUUCUUCAUCAUAACAAAAAGCUUUGAAAAUUAAACACACAUAAACUCAGGCAAGAGUUUAGCUCCGGGAAAGACUGGUCCAUGCCUGCCCCCACAAACAGAACAUAAAUUAUAGUAGGUGGUGGAUGCUGAGUCAUCUUAAGUUGGCAUUUUCAGGGGAGCAUAUGCAGUGAAGUUUUCUAUUUUAUGGGUAAUUAAAAUUUUUUACAUAUUUUUGAACCUUCUAUAUCUUAGUUGGAAACUCUAGGAAAAUGGGGUCCUGAGAAAAGCAGGCCUCUCUCCUAGAAGGGCUCACCCUGGAGAAGGAAGGGCAAGUGUUAUAAGGAGAGGACAAAUAAAAGUCCCUGCCUGCCAGUUGCCAGGCUCUGCUGCUGGGCUCAGCCAGCUCUUAUUCUGAAGAGAGUUCUUACUCCCUUGUCCUCUAAAAUGAAACUCUUGGCUGCUCUCUGUGCUGUGUGUUCUUCACUUUGGAAUGCAGAAUAAACAAGACUGAAGCUAGAGUUGAGACCAGGGGGACUGGAGACCUGCUGCAGGACAUCUGGUGCUCAAUACAGAACAUUUCCAAAG